GCAAUACGGAUGGACUCCUACGUCAGAUCGAAGAGUGGUCGCCUCGUAUCUGGCACGUCCUGUAUGUGGCACUUCACAUGCCCUGAGCUCGCUGAUGUGUGGUUGCUGACCAAGAAGCCGGGUUGGUGCAUGGAAUGGAGAUGAAAUUAAGAGUAGCUUAACUAAUUAUAUAGACUAGAUCGCACUAGUUAUUGUAAUCCUAUCUAUCUAUCUAUCAAUAGAUCUAGUACUUUUUCUUUAUUUGGCGGGUUGGUAAACAGACAAACACACAAACGGCCAAACAAACAAACAAACUAGAGGAGGAUUCUGCUGCCCAGCUUGACGCGACCAACACCAAUGUCUUGUACUGGGAUAUCUCCAUCUCCUGGCAAUCUUUCCUUGA